rnacentral:rRNA from 1 species
GACGAACGCUGGCGGCGUGCUUAAUACAUGCAAGUCGAACGGAAAGGCCCUGCUUUUGUGGGGUUCUCGAGUGGCGAACGGAUGAGUAACACGUGCGUAACCUGCCCUUGACUUUGGGAUAACUUCAGGAAACUGGGGCUAAUACCGGAUAGGAGCUCCUGCUGCAUGGUGUGGGUUUGAAAGUUACGGCGGGUGGGGUUGGAUUCGCGGCUUAUCAGCUUGUUGGUGGGGUAGUGGCUUACCAAGGCUUGGGCGGGUAGCAGGAGUGAGAGGGUGACCGGCAACCGUGGGAGUGUGAUACGGGCCGGAGUCGUACGGGAGGCUGCGGUGUGGAAGAUUGCACAAUGGGCGGAUGCCUGAUGCAGCAUCGCGGCGUGCGGGAUGGUGGCCUUCGGGUUGUAGACCGCUUUCGCCUGUGUCGAAGCGUGAGUGACGGUAAUGGGUAAAGAAGCACCGGCUAACUACGUG